AUCUAAGCUGUUUACUGCUGACCAUGCAAUUUUAAGAACCUACUCACAGAAUUUUUUUUCUACCAAGAAGAAUUAUGACACUGGAAAUUGAAAGCUGCAGGCCAUCAAACUUCUCUACAGCCACCAGUCUUUUCCAGAGUCCAUCAAGAACUCCAUCUUGUGUGUCCUUCAGAGAAGCUCAUUGUUCUAGAAUCCCUGAUCCAUCAAGCUCUCGAAUGGGCCUAUGAUUUCUGCCCACCAUGGUCUCAAGAGAACUACAAACCUGUUGUAAAUGCAUUAGUGGCCUUCCUUUCUUCAGGAGGCUUGUCGACGUUGUUGUUUUUUUUGUGUCCCUGGCUCUGCAUAAGAUUCCUUUACUUACAGUUGAAUUUUCCUCUCAAAUGUGCAUCUUGGACUUAUUCUGCAAUUAAAUGUUAUCUGUAUAAAAACUUCAUCAGUACUUUUGUUCUAGUUCUUAUUAAUGACAGUGACAAGUCCUUCUGUACACAACUGCUUCCUGUAAUUGAUGCUAGUUAUCCUGCUGCCUGACUAGUUACUAAUCUCCAUCUAUCAUUGGAAAACUAUACUCGCUACUUGCCAUAAUUGAUUUUCGUUACCGCGGGUGGCGAAUCUCCUCCAAAUGCUUUCACCCUGGCAUUAAUGUAAAUUGCUAGUGGGAAAACCAUAUACAGCUUUAUGUUGUUACUCUUGUACCCUUGUAUGUUUAACUUUUUAAGAUCCCUGUUUGUUAAAAUGUAUUGUGAAGUGCUGUGUAAUUUGCUGGCUCUGUAUAAAUAAAUGAGGAUGAUAUUUUAUCAAAGUCACCCAAAGCUUUCUAGCGAGGCAACUCGGGGGACUUCAGAAUAACAAAGUGCCACAUAUGUUUUCCCACUGGCAAUUUACAUUAUUGCCGGUGGGAAAGCAUUUGCAGAAGUUUAAUUCCCCGCAGUAGUGAAGAUUUAUCACAGACAACUAAUUCUCUGGUGUGCCAUUACCCUUAUUCUAAUGAAAGACAAAAGGCAUUGUUUAAUUCUUACUCUGAAACACAAAAGUCUACAGCCUGAUUGUAAUAUGAUUCUGAUUCAAAGUAUAUGUUCCCUUCAAGUUAUGUCUGGCAGUAAAACAAUCUAAAGCCCUGUAUUUUCCUGUGACUGUAAAUGUCUUUAUGUACAGUAAUUUGAAUAAGUUAAUUUACUAUGGUGAUAUAUAAAAUUAAUGCGUAGGACAAAGCUGAAAAGUUUUAUUGUCCAGAAAAUAUUUAAUUCAGUGCAUGAUGCAAAACUCACACUGCUUUCUUAUUUAAUAAAAUAAUCUUUUUGUUUGUCAGAAA